AAAUAAAAAGAUUAAGAAAGCAAAACAAAAGAUAAAAUGAAAUUCAAAAACUCCAUCAUAUUUCGGUGAAGAGGGAAAGGAAGGGGUUUUGGAGAAGAACGAAUCUAGCUCUCACACACCAGAACCGGAGGCGGAGGCAGAGGCGGAGGCAGUGGAUAGAGGCGACAUUGUCUCUCUGUAGUCGGCGGCGAGACCCACACCUAAACCCGUAGCCACUAACACACGACUUCUUCUCCCUGCCGUCGCCCAUCGUCGCUUCUCUAUUUACUUCAAAACAAUGUGCAAUUUUCAGGGAGAUUCAUCAAGAUGAUCAAUGUUCCAGGCUACUCUCCAAAUGGGCUGAUUCCAUUAACUUUCCGCUCACAGAAGAGAUGGGAAUUGAAGCAAGGAACAGAGUUCAGGAAUUCUCUCAAGUUUACCAUUCCAUUAACACUCAACUUCUUAAGGAUUGGGGUUAAACUGUUGAGUGUUGACGUAGGUGUGGUACUGGAACAGUGGCUGCGAAUAUUUCCAAGGCAUUUUCUCAUGUGCAGUGCAGAGUGUUUGAACUCCCACAUAUUGAUAUUGUUGCUAGGUACUGGAAUAGUGGCAGCGAAUAUUUUCAAGGCAUCCCCUCAUGAGCAGUGCAGAGUGUUUUAUCUCCCACAUAUCGAUAUUGUUGCUAGCCUGCCCGAGAGUAAGAGAAUGAACUAUUUUGCAGGUGAUAUGCUUGUGUCUAUCCCUUUUGUUGAUGCCAUUCUCAUUAAGAUACCAUUCAUUAGACCUCAUUCCAUACUUGGGAGGGCAGUGUUGUGAAUGCUAAUCCUGAUAUAUAUGGUUUGGAAGCAUGAAAGGCCAUUGGUUUAAAGCUACGUGUAUCUCUAUUGGAUCUAGCCGACUUUUGUUUUUUGCUUGGAGAGGUGUGCGUGCAAGAGAGGACUCCUCAAAAAAAUUUGGAAACCAAAUCAACUACUGUUGAAAUGAAGAUACAAGUCCUAAGUACAAAACGCAAAAGAAGACUGAGUGAGACUGAAGAAGAAACAAGGCUGUUUUGUGUAAAUGAGGACUUGAUGAGGCUUAUUGAAACAGCACCGUUUUGCAAUCUCUUUAGUAAUUGUUUUAGUGAAACGUUGCCCAAUAACUUUGACAGAUUGGUUCCAAUUUCUGUUAUGAAUUAAGUCCACGUGUUAGCUUGUAAUUAGUGGUUAGACUAAAACAGUUUUCCCACUUAAUCAAGGAAGUUAGUUUUGCUUCUUUCUUUUCCAGAUUUUGUAUAUAAGGGAUUAGAUAUUUUCUAUCUAUUCUUAGUUGCUUGUAAUCACUUUUACUCAUCAAUAAGAAAACUAAGUUCUAUUU